rnacentral:rRNA from 1 species
UACAGAGGUCUCAAGCGUUGUUCGGAUUCAUUGGGCGUAAAGGGUGCGUAGGCGGCGCGGUAAGUCGGGUGUGAAAUCUUGGAGCUUAACUCCGAAACUGCAUUCGAUACUGCCGUGCUUGAGGACUGGAGAGGAGACUGGAAUUUACGGUGUAGCGGUGAAAUGCGUAGAUAUCGUAAGGAAGACCAGUGGCGAAGGCGGGUCUCUGGGCCGUAACUGACGCUGAGAAGCGAAAGCAUGGGGAGCGAACAGG